UACGUAGGGUGCGAGCGUUAAUCGGAAUUACUGGGCGUAAAGCGUGCGCAGGCGGUUUUGUAAGGCAGGUGUGAAAUCCCCGGGCUUAACCUGGGAACUGCAUUUGUGACUGCAAGGCUGGAGUGCGGCAGAGGGGGAUGGAAUUCCGCGUGUAGCAGUGAAAUGCGUAGAUAUGCGGAGGAACACCGAUGGCGAAGGCAAUCCCCUGGGCCUGCACUGACGCUCAUGCACGAAAGCGUGGGGAGCAAACAGG
rnacentral:rRNA from 1 species